GCAACUCCCAGCCCCUGCCUGCUUCUGUUGCUGACUUUGAUUUGUUCAAAUCGCUGCUUAAUGGAUGUUUACACGAUUCCCCGUUGAAGUGGUUACAUUGAGAAUUUACAAGUACAAAGUACAAGUAUUAGCAAAGUCCUGGCCCACUGUGGCACAAAAAAGAAAAUCCUGCGGCCUGCGGCCCAAAACAAGCCAAACAAAGAAAACAGUCGGCCAAAACAAACGAACUGGCCAGAGACACUGACUAGACGCAUAGACGCUGUCAAAAGGACAUUGUCCCAGAUCCUCUUCAGACCAUAGAGUCCUUUUUGUCAACUGCAAUAGUAUAGUUUUCAGUUGCAAUUGCAGUUGCAGAACUAGUAUUAGGUUUAAACAUUUCUCCUAGCUAUCUUUAAUGAACAACUUUUUCGCAUUUCAGCCGCACAAAUGGCCCAUUUAAUUGGAUUAACGCACAUUUCCGCUGCCUCGCUGGCCAAUUUAUCACUGCUUAUGUUUAUUUAUGUUGCAUUUUAAUUAUGCGCCACAGUUGGAAGUGUGCCAUGCGGAGAUGCGGAUGUCUGCCUGGUUGCAACUUGCUUUUUCUUUCCCAACACAGGCUACAGCUACGACUUACCCUUUUCUUCUCCGUUUCUGGCCACUUGCAGUCUCUUUAAUUUUCAUGAUUUACUGCCAAUCCAUUGUGAACGGCUGUCGAUGGCAAUCGAUCCCAUUGCAUACCUCAGAUAUAUAUAUACUCUACCAUAUAAAUAUACAUCUGCAAUAACCCCCUCGUGCUGCAAAAUCUGACAGCCUGGUGCGAAUUUUUUUGCAUCUGAUUCGGGAUGAAUGCCGGUAAUUUGAAGUCUUGUUUGCGGUUCGCUAAUUUCAUUGCUUCAACGUGGAUUGCUGCGAUUGUUCGGUAUUGAUAACCGAGACGAGAUGGGAGAAAGUCUCUGUUCAUAUUUUGGAAAGCAAUGUACUGCUGCACUCUUUGGCUCACUGGAAUUACCCAACGAUCGGUCUAGCCUUAAAUGUAAUUUUGGAAAAGCAAUCACUUGCUUGAAAUCUCUACUCCUUACUCUAAUUUCAUACACCUACUCAUGAAAAUUUCCAAAAAAUACGUUCAUAAACAUAUAAUUAUAAUCAAAACCAUGUUGCCUUCAAAAGUUUCCUUUUUUUUGGGUCACCGAAAGCCGCAGGAACUGGGCGGCUUUUCAAGUGGACAAAAGACCACUCUUUGGCUGUCAAGCUUGAGUUAAAUGAAGAAUAGCCCAGACCCAUGAAUAGGACCGAGCAAUGCCUGGGGAUUCGAAAGGCCUAGAAAGUGGACAGGCCAUUGAAAGACAGUUGCGUCAAAGGACCCACCGACAGUUCGACUUGUCGGACAUGCCUUAAUGUCGUCUGUGUGCUUGCCGCGAAUGUAUGAAUAUUUAUAAUAGAUACUUAUCUUGCACCCUUUCGCAGUCGGACAGGACACCGGACAGGACCUCCAAGCUACGGUCGCAUUUUUCUGGCUUAUUAAUUGCCCGCAUACACGAACCUGACUCCCCGGGUCCUUUGUCGCCAGUCACUCGCGUCCUUGGCGACCUGUCGCCACCAAAUGCAAAACGCAUAAAACAUAAAAAGCAUAAAUAUUAAAAGCCUAAUUAAUUUUGGGUCGCCACGACCGGAAUUAUAUUUUAUUACAAGCUUGAAUGUCAAUAAUUGCACGCAGGUGUGAAUGGCAACAGUUCACCUGCCCUGCAACGUUGCAUGGUCUGGUUUUGUCACUCGAAGAGGCUGGUAGGAAAAAUAUUACAAAAUUAUGAAAGCAAUUAGCAUGGAUUUCGAAGCAGGUUUUCAUAUAAAGGGUUUCAAGUUAGUUCAAACUUGAAAAGGUUGUCUUGCAGCGAUGCAGGUGCUCUGGAGUGGAGUGGAGUGGACGACUCACUUGGCCAUUCACCGUUUGUGGCUAUCAGCGAUAUUGAUGGAUAACGAGUUUGGUGCUGGGAAAGUGGGUGAGCCUGGUAGCCAGUGCAUUGUGAGUCGCUUUUCCACUAAUUGAUAUGCGACCAUCAAGUUGCAUUAUUCAGAGAAAACUCCAAUCCGCCCAGCCUCAUUUCAUUUUGAUUUUUGAUGCCUUUGAUCUCCUAGUUGGGUGAUCCCAACCGUCAGAACUUCGCAGAGCAGAUCCUUUUAAGCAGCAUCUGUCCGAAUGCAUCCGCUUGACAAAAGUGCCUUUGAAGUGCUGAAAACGAAGUUUCUUGGACAUCUAAUUUUAGUUGCGUCAAAUGGUGGUGCAUCGUUAGCGGAAAACAGCAGGAACACAGCAGAAGAACAGGAUGCGCGAAAAGCACUUCCCCAGAAAAGGAAAAACACAUUAACCGUGAUUCUGUCGAGCAAAGUUGUUAAAAUUGAUGAGACAUCGUGGCGCGCUCUGUGACUUUUGACCCACAUCGCUGACUCUCCGCCUUACCUCGCAUUUCCAAAAUCGCAAUCUGACGCAUUAAGUAUGGGACAUGGGUUGCGAGGAUGAGGGCGAGGAUGUGCCACCAAGACGCUGUCUGUGCGGCAAUCUUUUCGGCGGCUUCGACGGCGCCGCCACUUUGUCUGACCCAGAUUUAAUAAAUGGCAGACAAAUUGUCUGCGCAGAUUGUUUAUGA